rnacentral:rRNA from 1 species
GACGAACGCUGGCGGCGUGCUUAACACAUGCAAGUCGAACGGAAAGGCCCUGCUUUUGUGGGGUGCUCGAGUGGCGAACGGGUGAGUAACACGUGAGUAACCUGCCCUUGUCUUUGGGAUAACUUCAGGAAACUGGGGCUAAUACCGGAUAGGAUCUCCUGCUGCAUGGUGGGGGUUGGAGAGUUUCGGCGGUUGGGGCUGGACUCGCGGCUUAUCAGCUUGUUGGUGGGGUAGUGGCUUACCAAGGCUUUGACGGGUAGCCGGCCUGAGAGGGUGAACGGCCACAUUGGGACUGAGAGACGGACCAGAAUCCAACGGGAGGCAGCAGUGGAGAAUAUUGCGCAAUGGGCGGAAGCCUGAUGCAGAAACGCCGCGUGCGGGAUGACGGCCUUCGGGUUGUAAACCGCUUUCGCCUGUGACGAAGCGUGAGUGACGGUAAUGGGUAAAGAAGCACCGGCUAACUACGUG